CAGAAUCUCCUUGUGACUAUGGCGCUGUGUUCUCGAUGGCCUUUGUCGUUUCUCCCGGCGAUCGAUCGCGGCACCCCGAUGGAUCCCGAUCAAGCACUGCGCACGAUUCGCAUUCAUCGUCGCGUUUGCUCGUAAUUUGUGCACUUAUUUUUGAUCCCGUUCUUAAAGAUUGAUCUGAGUAGUUUGCUCCCUAGAUCUGCUGUCGAUCGAGUUGACAACGAAGUCAUGUAUCAUGAGGUUCUCCUGGAUGCGCUACAUCGACGAUGCCAGGUCCGAUGAUUAUUCAUCGCGUGUUAAUUAGUUUAAGACCCCUUCCUUUUUGAUCGGCCAGCAUUUCCUUUUUGAUGAAUCCCGUUCGAUUAUAUAUGUCGUCGGUUUUUCCCAAAAUACAAUAGGGCACAUGAGAUUCUUCUUCUGUAGGAAUGAUCGAAAUGGAUAGAUAGAAAUAGAUUGUGACAGACCGCAAUUUCGCUACCAAAUUUUGUUGCUUAGUAAUUUAUUUGGUCAAGUUGUGCCGAUUAGAACUUAUUUUAAAAUUGUAAAGAGAAAUCGAUGUCGUAUGGGAUAGUUGACUAUGGGGUUGAAUAGACAGUUUAGUGGCAAGAAAGCAUUCUUAUAGCCAAACUCACAUUCUUGGGGGUUGGGGUUUCAGAUGUGAAUUAUUGUGUCCAUAGAUAUGCAACAAUUAAAUAUUUAGACCCUAGUUUAAGCUAUCUAUUGUAGCUUUUGGGCUUUUGGGUUGGAAAAUUUAAAGCGACUUGAGAAAGUAAGAUUGAAUUGAAGACAAUAUCUAGUGCAUAUGGUAAGCAAUAAAAUUACACUUUUUUCUUGAUUGCUUGCUCAUCAAUUGCUCAUGGAUGUCUUGGAUUUUAGCCUGAACAUUUCUGGUUUAGCGCACCAAAGAAAGGGACUAUGGUCUGACAGAAGUGGUUGGCGAUUUCAAAAUUCAUUUCCUUGAUCGGCAUGGAGAUUUGUUUAUUGGCGAGGCUGAUUAAAUACUACAUUCACAGAGAAUAGGAAGUUUUUGAAUGCUUCCGAUCUUGAUGGCUUUGAUAAGAGGAAGUUGCCAUAUCCAGAAUUCCAGAUUGAGGUGGUGCUUGUGGAUUAUGAUGGCGCUAAUCCAAAUCCUCCACGACAAACUGAUUCAAACAUCAAGGAAUCUCCUGAUGGCACUACAUCUGCCACUAAAACUAAGAUUGCUGGGGAUUCUAAAAGCCAAGACAAGGACAACAGUUUCUCUGAUAGCGAAGAAGAAGGGUCUUCCAGGGGCAGGCGUCAAAAGAUGGGUGACGACGAUACACAUGGUUCAAAAGUUACAACAGAAGAAAUUGAAACAAAGACUUUGAAAGAGUAAAGCACAAGGAAUCGGAGAUAUAUAAUUGAAGAAUGAACCAAAAGUCACUGAUUCUGUUGAUGCUAAAAUCAAAUCAAGUAGUAAAAAUUUGCCAGUAGAGAGCCCUGUGCUGGAGUCCACUGUGACUGGAUUCAAAGCAAUUGCUGCAGAUGCUUCUGUCUUUUCUUUUGGUGAUGAUGAACACUUCGAGAGCGAGUGGCAUAGCUAGUUCAGGGAGGAUCUCAGAAGACAUCAACCAGUAUGGAUGUUCAAACACAUUCAUGAUAGUUGGAAGGUGCUGGUUCGCGCUUCACAGCAUCCCGUUGUCUAAUAUCACAACUUCAAAAUGAAGUUUGUGCAUUCAUGCAAUCAAUGAUGGCAUUCUCUUUGAUUCUCAUAUCGGUGGUGCAUGUUCUUGGAAAAUUGUUGUUCAUAAGUUAGAAUGCCUUGGUUGUUGCCCAUGAUUCACCAGUGGUAUAUGUUUCAUGCCAAUCGGUUAUAAUGUAAAUGAGGCAAAGAUUUUGGAUGUGGAGCAACAUAGGGAUGGAUAAAUAUUGUAUCCCUUGUAAUGUAAGGUUGCUCCAUAUGAUGUUUAAUUUUUAGUAUAAUUAUUUUUUUGUUAUUAUUUUGUUA